rnacentral:rRNA from 1 species
UACAGAGGUCUCAAGCGUUGUUCGGAUUCAUUGGGCGUAAAGGGGUGCGUAGGCGGCGCGGUAAGUCGGGUGUGAAAGUCUCGGAGCUUAACUCCGAAACUGCAUUCGAUACUGCCGUGCUUGAGGACUGGAGAGGAGACUGGAAUUUACGGUGUAGCGGUGAAAUGCGUAGAUAAUCGUAAGGAAGACCAGUGGCGAAGG